UCCUUAACUGACGCACUACACCAAACACCUAUGACCAUAACACAAGAAGAUAAGACUAUUUAAAAAGUAUUAUAGUAAGUACGGUUAAAAAGUGGUAAAGUCCAAAACCAAAUGAAAAAAAGGGGGCACCUUUAGGAACUCCCGCUAAAUUGAAAUAGCAAGCUUUUUGUCUGACUAUAAUAUAGUCUCUCUACUUUUUUCACAUGUAAAAUAAAAUAAAAUAAAGAAGAAAGAAACUUUUCUCCCACCCAAUCUUUCCUUUCUCCCUCUCUCUAUAUCCUCUCACUAUAGCACGGUUUGGGUUUUCAGGGAAGGAGAUACCAGAUCUUCUUUCCCUGUUUUAAUACAUAUUUUCUUUGCUAUAAACCCUCGUAUAAGGUUCAAGAAACAAGAUGUGCAUUUGUUUGUGAAGGCUAGGCGCUGGCUCUGGGUGAUUUUUGGGACUUUGGGGCGGUAGAAAAUGGAGGGUUGACAUUGGCUCUUUGUUUGGGUGAAUCAGGGUUCGAUUUCUUUUGGGUUUUUCUUUUUGGGUAGGAGGGUUUGGUUGAGAUGGGAAGCGCCGGUGAGACCAGUAACAAGGGCAUUGACCCGUCGGUAGGCGGGUUGGUUUGGGUCCACCGCAGAAACGGGUCAUGGUGGCCCGGUAGGAUAAUGGGUCUCGAUGAGUUUUCUGAGAGUUGCUUAGUUUCGCUGAGAUCGGGUACCCAUGUAAAGCUUCUGGGUCGCGAGGACGCAAGCGUGUCUCUGCAGCACUUUAUGCUCUUAUUGACAUUAGUGGUGGAAAAGUUAACAUCCAUGUAUUAAUGGCUCUAGCGGCAUUUGCUUCAGUAUUUAUGGGGAAUGCCUUAGAAGGAGGGUUACUUCUUCCCAUGUUUAAUUUGGCUCAUAUAGCUGAAGAGUACUUCACCAGCCGUUCAAUGAUUGAUGUUAAAGAGUUGAAGGAAAAUCAUCCCGAAUCUGCUCUUGUGCUCGAUAUGAAUGAAGAUAGACUUCC